rnacentral:lncRNA from 1 species
UUUUGGUUGGUAGUCUUUUGAUGGCUUCUUCUAUUUCUUCCUUUGUUAUUGGUCUGUUUAAAUUGUGUGUGUCUUCCUGACUCAAUCUGGGCAGAUCGUAUGACUUAAGAAAUUUAUCGAUAUCUUCACUAUCUUCUAUUUUAUUGGAAUAUAGGGUUUCAAAAUACUUUCUAAUUAUCUUCUGUAUUUCUGUAGUGUCUGUUGUGAUAUUGCCUUUUUCAUCCCGUAUGUUAGUAAUUUGAGUUCUCUCUCUUCUUCUCUUCGUUAGCAUGGCUAAGGGCCUGUCGAUCUUAUUUAUUUUUUCAAAGAACCAACUUUUAGUUUUAUCAAUUUUUUCAAUGUUUUUUUUUUGUUUCAAUUUCGUUGAUUUCUGCUCUAAUUUUAAUUAUUUCUUGUCUUCUACUACAUUUGCUGUUGUUUUGCUCUUCCUUUUCUAGGUUUUUGAGGUGUAGUGUGAGUUCAUUUAUUUGUUGGUUUUUUCUUUUUUUGAGGAAAGAACUCCAGGAAAUGAAUUUCCCUCUUAAAACUGCUUUCAUUGUGUCCCAUAGAUUCCGGUAUGUUGUGUCUGUAUUGUCAUUUGUCUCUAAGAAUUUUUUAAUCUCCUCCUUUAUGUCUUCUGUAACCCAUUGAUCAUUCAGUAACAUAUUGUUCAUUUUCCAUGUGAUGUAGGAUUUUUCCUUCCUUCUUUUAUCAUUGAUUUCCAGUUUCAUUCCAUUAUGAUCAGAUAUGGUGCAUGGUAUUAUCUCCACACCUUUAUAUUUACUAAGAGUUGCCCUAUGGCAUAAUAUAUGGUCUAUCUUUGAGUAGGAUCCAUGUGCUGCUGAGAAGAACGUGUAUCCACUUGAUGAUGGUUGAUAUAUUCUAUAUAUGUCGGUUAAGUCUAGGUUAUUGAUUGUGCUAUUGAGUUCAAUAGUUUCUUUAUUCAGCUUUUGUCUAGAGGAUCUGUCUAAUGGUGAGAGCGGUGUGUUGAAGUCACCCAUAAUUAUUAUGUUGUAGUCUAUUUGACUCUUGAACUUGAG